GGAGGACUGAGCGCUUAAUCUGUGGGAUCUGACGCUAUCUCCAGGUGGAUGUUGUCAGAAUUGAAUUAUAGGACACUCACCUGGUGUGAUGGAGAACUGCUUGCUGUGGGGAAAAAGCCACACGCAUUUGGUGACCAGAAGUGAAGGGUUCUAUGUGAGAAGUAAAGAAAACACACAGGUGGAAAACUGAGUUUUUCUAAAAUACUAAGUAAUUCACAAAUUUAAAAGAAAUACCAAAAAGGGACUUUUAGAUGACUGAAAGCUGGGGAAGUAGCAAAGACGACUGAACUAUUGUGCACAUGAUACAUAGGAAGUUAAUCACAAUGGUUGCCUGGAAGGAGGAGAAUUCAGUAGCUGGGGGGCAAGAAUAAGAGGAAGAUCAGCCCUGAGCCAGUCCUCCUCUUUUUGCUGAGGAAGACUGGCCCUGAGCUAACAUCCAUGCCCAUCUUCCUCUACUUUAUAUGUGAGAUGCCUACCACAGCAUGGCUUGCCAAGCGGUGCCAUGUCUGCACCCAAGAUCCGAACCGGCAAACCCUGGGCCACCGAGAAGGGGAACAUUCGAGCUUAACCACUGUGCCACCGGGCCGGCCCCCACUUAUUUUUUAAGCACGUUUAUUUAAAUUCUGAAUUUGUUUCACAGGGAACACGUCUUACUUUUGUAACCAGAAAAAAAAUAACAAAGGCUGUUGUUUGUGUCUUUCUUUUUUUUCCUGGAACAAUGGCCAUUCAAGAAUCCCAAAAGGAACUUCCAGGGGUUACUAAUGAAGCCGAGCAGAGAAGGAGAGAGCAUCCUUCCUCACUGGCUGCCUGGGAAGGGGGAUUGACUGCAAACGGGCACUGGGAUCUUUGCGGGGGGUGGUAAGAAAUGGUCUACAAUCCAAUUGUGGUUAUGGUUGCACAACUCUGUAAAUUUGCUAAAACUCAUUGCAUUAUAUACUUAAAAAGGGUGAAUUGUAUGGUAUGUAAAUUAGACUUCAAUAAAACUUUUU
rnacentral:lncRNA from 1 species